rnacentral:rRNA from 1 species
CCUACGGGAGGCAGCAGUGGGGAAUAUUGCGCAAUGGGCGGAAGCCUGACGCAGCGACGCCGCGUGGGGGAUGACGGCCUUCGGGUUGUAAACCUCUUUCAGCAGGGACGAAGCGAAAGUGACGGUACCUGCAGAAGAAGCACCGGCCAACUACGUGCCAGCAGCCGCGGUAAUACGUAGAGUGCAAGCGUUGUCCGGAAUUAUUGGGCGUAAAGAGCUCGUAGGCGGUUCGUCGCGUCGGCUGUGAAAUCCCGAGGCUCAACCUCGGGUCUGCAGUCGAUACGGGCGGACUUGAGUUCGGCAGGGGAGACUGGAAUUCCUGGUGUAGCGGUGAAAUGCGCAGAUAUCAGGAGGAACACCGGUGGCGAAGGCGGGUCUCUGGGCCGAAACUGACGCUGAGGAGCGAAAGCGUGGGGAGCGAACAGGAUUAGAUACCCUGGUAGUCCACGCCGUAAACGUGGGCGCUAGGUGUGGGGCUCAUUCCACGAGUUCCGUGCCGCAGCUAACGCAUUAAGCGCCCCGCCUGGGGAGUACGGCCGCAAGGCUAAAACUCAAAGGAAUUGACGGGGGCCCGCACAAGCGGCGGAGCAUGUUGCUUAAUUCGAUGCAACGCGAAGAACCUUAC